CCAAUCAAAAAUUGAUAGCCGAAGACAGCAGGGGCUAAUUAGCUUAAUAUCCUGCCGAGGUUUGUACAAAAAUGUUUUUGAUGACACUAGUUAUAGUGAAGUCGAAAUAACAUGACGUACACCGUGUCACCUCGGCUCUUGAGUCGAGGUUUUGUUUUGGGUGG
rfam:Chroococcidiopsis thermalis PCC 7203, complete genome.